UACGUAGGGUGCAAGCGUUUGUCCGGAAUUAUUGGGCGUAAAGGGCUCGUAGGCGGCCAACUAAGUCAGACGUGAAAUCCCUCGGCUUAACCGGGGAACUGCGUCUGAUACUGGAUGGCUUGAGUUCGGGAGAGGGAUGCGGAAUUCCAGGUGUAGCGGUGAAAUGCGUAGAUAUCUGGAGGAACACCGGUGGCGAAGGCGGCAUCCUGGACCGACACUGACGCUGAUGCGCGAAAAGCCAGGGGGAGCAAACGGG
rnacentral:rRNA from 1 species